rnacentral:rRNA from 1 species
UACGUAGGGUGCAGGCGUUAAUCGGAAUUACUGGGCGUAAAGCGUGCGCAGGCGGUCUAUUAAGACAGGUGUGAAAUCCCCGGGCUUAACCUGGGAACUGCGCUUGUAACUGAGAGGCUUGAGUGCGGCAGAGGGGGGUGGAAUUCCACGUGUAGCAGUGAAAUGUGUAGAGAUGUGGAGGAACACCGAUGGCGAAGGCAGCCCCUGGGUCGACACUGACGCUCAUGCACGAAAGCGUGGGGAGCAAACAGGAUUAGAAACCCGUGUAGU